CUGAAGAUGACUGUUCAAGGCCAGUCCAAGAAAAUAAAGAAGUUUGAGAGAAUCAUCUCAACCAAUGGCUAGGCAUGGUAACAUGUUCCUGUUAUCCCAGCUAUGGGGAAGCACAGUAUCUUGGUACCUUGGCACAUGCCUGUCAUCCCUAGUGUUUUAAGGUAGCACAAGAAGGGGGGGGGGUGGGAAUCUCCAAAGCAGCUAUAGAAAAAAGGUAUAUAAUGUACAGGGAGAGAAUGGAAUGAUGGCAAGUUUUCUCUGGGAAGGAGAGAAGUCAGAGGAAGUGGCACACUGAAAGCACUUAGAGCAAGGAGUCAUCAGCCCAGAAUACUUCAUUCCACAAGAAUACCCUUUAGGAAUGACAGUGAAACGAAGGCAGCCUCAGAUGAAGGAAAACUAAGAGAAGCUAUGGCUGGCAGACCCUGCUUUUAAAAGACUUGCUGAUGAAAGUUGCUCCUCCAGGAAAAUGAGACCAGAGGAGGCUCAGAACUUCAGGAGGGAGGAAAGCAACCAAAACGUCACUGUCUGGGGGAAUACAGUGUUCUGCCCUUCUGGAUUUGAACAUUCAAGGCAAAAUUUAAAUGCUGUCUCUCUUCAUGGUGGAAAGGGGAGCUAAUGAAUUUAAAUGGGCUCUGAGACUAACAUAGAGACCCACAGAGCGAGGUGUCUCCACUCCACUUGGAGUAGCACUGCACUGUAUUGAUCCAGAGCUGUCUGUGAAAGAUCGACUUGGUGGUUGGGGAGUUUCCAGCCCCAUCCAUCAUGAGAAAGUUCCAUCAUUAAUUUUUCACCUAUGGGUUUUUGCAGCUACCAUAAUCAUUAUCCAGAUCCAUUCUUCAUCAGAGCUUAGAAAAUGGACUCUAAUUCUAUUAUUGUUGCAUUGGCUAAUAGUCUUUGAAAAGAAAAAAAACCACCUUUCUUACAUCUGGUAUCUGAUUCCUCUAAAGUACAUAAGAAAGAAGGACUAAAUGUUGCAUCCUUGCUAUUACUUACCAGCGUUCAAUAUACUGAAUUAAAAUACUAUUUUUCUAUUUUUAUUAUUUGUUGACUUAUUUGUCAGUCAUGGGGCUUGAAUUCAGGGCCCG